rnacentral:rRNA from 1 species
AUGGAUCCAAGCCCUUCGAUUACAUGUUGGAACGUGUGAGGCCUGAAUAACCCGGCGAAGAAGAAGGCGGUGAGGGAGUUCAUCUCAUCGGUCAAGUGUAAUAUGGUGUGUCUCCAGGAGACGAAACUGGAUGUUGUAGACCAAUUUACUAUCAUGCAAUGUAUCGGACCAUCGUAUGAUGGCUUUGCUUACCUUCCAGCGACUGACACCCGUGGGGGUGUGGUCUUG